UACGGAGGGUGCAAGCGUUAAUCGGAAUUACUGGGCGUAAAGCGCGCGUAGGCGGUUAUUUAAGUCAGAUGUGAAAGCCCGGGCUCAACCUGGGAAUUGCAUUUGAUACUGGAUGGCUAGAGUGUGGUAGAGGUGAGUGGAAUUUCAGGUGUAGCGGUGAAAUGCGUAGAGAUCUGAAGGAACCAUCAGUGGCGAAGGCGACUCACUGGGCCAUUACUGACGCUGAGGUGCGAAAGCGUGGUAGCAAACAGG
rnacentral:rRNA from 1 species